rnacentral:rRNA from 1 species
UGGGAAUUUUGGACGAAUUGGGCGAAAGCCUGAUCCAGCAAUGCCGCGUGUGUGAAGAAGGCCUUCGGGUUGUAAAGCACUUUUGUCCGGAAAGAAAUCCUUGGCUCUAAUACAGUCGGGGGAUGACGGUACCGGAAGAAUAAGCACCGGCUAACUACGUGCCAGCAGCCGCGGUAAUACGUAGGGUGCAAGCGUUAAUCGGAAUUACUGGGCGUAAAGCGUGCGCAGGCGGUCCGCUAAGACAGAUGUGAAAUCCCCGGGCUUAACCUGGGAACCGCAUUUGUGACUGGCGGGCUAGAGUAUGGCAGAGGGGGGUAGAAUUCCACGUGUAGCAGUGAAAUGCGUAGAGAUGUGGAGGAAUACCGAUGGCGAAGGCAGCCCCCUGGGCCAAUACUGACGCUCAUGCACGAAAGCGU